AUGAGGCAGCCACAGACCAUGACAGGAAGCCAGGCCUUAGCAGCACCGGCUCCUGCCCUGGAGACAGCCCCGAGCUCCGUGUCCGGGCGCCCCCUGGUGGUCACGGGGACCCCUGCAGGGGGGUUUGUGUCCCGGGCGCCCCCUGGUGGCCCCGCGCGCCCCUGCAGGGAGGUUUGUGUCUGGGCUCACACUGACCUCCCCUCACUGUGUCUCUAGCACAGUAAUACACGGCCGUGUCCUCGGUUUUCAGGCUGUUCAUUUGCAGAUACGCCGUGUUCUUUGAAUCAUCUCUGGAGAUGGUGAAUCUGCCUUUCACCGAUGCGGCGUAUUCUGUCGCGUAAUUGUUAGAUUUGCUUCUGAUACGUCCAACCCACUCCAGUCCUUUCCCAGAAGCCUGGCGGACCCGGUGCAUAGCAGAACUACUGAAGGUGAAUCCAGAGGCUGCACAGGAGGGUCUCAGGGACCCGCCAGGCUGGACCAAGCCUCCCCCAGACUCCACCAGCUGCACCUCACACUGGGCACCUGCAAACACAGAGACACCCUGGUCAGAAACUGCCACACAUAUCCACUGUUUCUCUCACUCAUGUCCCCUCACACUCCACAUCUCUAUUUCUCCAUGAAUCACCUUUUAAAAUGGCAACAAGGAAAACCCAGCUCAGUACAAACUCCAUGGUGAGUCUCCUGUGUUCAGUGUCGAUCACCAAGUGGAGACAGCUGGGAAUCCCAAGGCUGGGUCUCCUCUCCCAGAGCUGCAGGGUCAGGGCUGGGCUGUUUUUCAUCACCUAAAAGGGGGGUCUUAUUUGCAUGUCUCCUACUAUAUAGCAAGCUCCUCGGGGGUGGGACGCCUCAGGAGAGGGCUGUGCACAGAGUAGAUGAGGGUGUCCUGGGGGAGAUUGGUAGUGAUCCUAUCAUUCAGGAAAAUAUAAUUUCAUAUUAUGUG
rnacentral:lncRNA from 1 species